ACACUUGCUUUGGCAGCACAUACACUAAAAUGGGAACAAUAUAGAGAUUAACAUGGCCCUGCACACAGAUGGCACACAAAACAAGCAACUAGAGAGACAACCCUG
rnacentral:snRNA from 1 species